GAUGAACGCUGGCGGCGUGCCUAAUACAUGCAAGUCGAGCGAACAGAUAAGGAGCUUGCUCCUUUGGCGUUAGCGGCGGACGGGUGAGUAACACGUGGAUAACCUACCUAUAAGACUGGGAUAACUUCGGGAAACCGGAGCUAAUACCGGAUAACAUAUUGAACCGCAUGGUUCAAUAGUGAAAGGCGGCUUUGCUGUCACUUAUAGAUGGAUCCGCGCCGUAUUAGCUAGUUGGUAAGGUAACGGCUUACCAAGGCAACGAUACGUAGCCGACCUGAGAGGGUGAUCGGCCACACUGGAACUGAGACACGGUCCAGACUCCUACGGGAGGCAGCAGUAGGGAAUCUUCCGCAAUGGGCGAAAGCCUGACGGAGCAACGCCGCGUGAGUGAUGAAGGUCUUCGGAUCGUAAAACUCUGUUAUCAGGGAAGAACAAAUGUGUAAGUAACUGUGCACAUCUUGACGGUACCUGAUCAGAAAGCCACGGCUAACUACGUG
rnacentral:rRNA from 1 species